rnacentral:rRNA from 1 species
AAAAACAUCGCCUCUUGAAUCAUACAUAAGAGGUCUAGCCUGCCCAGUGAACUAAUUCAACGGCCGCGGUAUCCUAACCGUGCGAAGGUAGCGUAAUCACUUGUUCUUUAAAUAAGGACUAGUAUGAAUGGCAUCACGAGGGUUUCACUGUCUCCUUUUUUAGAUCAGUAAAACUAAUCUUCCCGUGAAGAAGCGGGAAUAAUUUUAUAAGACGAGAAGACCCUAUGGAGCUUUAAACAAAAAACACUUGCUGCAUUCUUCCCUAAUAAAAAGCUUAGCAUUCUGAUUUAUUUGUUUUCGAUUGGGGUGAUCACGGAGCAAAAACCAACCUCCAUGUUGAAUAGAACUUUUAUCCUAAGCAAUAACCCACAACUUUAUGCACUAAAAAAUUAACAUGCAUUGACCCAUUAUUAUGAUCAACGAACCAAGUUACCCUAGGGAUAACAGCGCAAUCUGCUUUAAGAGCCCCUAUCGACAAGCAGGUUUACGACCUCGAUGUUGGAUCAGGGUAUCCAAGUGGUGCAGCCGCUACUAAUGGUUCGUUUGUUCAACGAUUAAAACCCUACGUGAUCUGA